GAAUGGGAGUGAGGAUGAGAUUGAGAGAGAGGAUGAGAGGGAUGAGUAAUAGAAGUGAAAACAAAAUCUUGAAAGUGAACAAUUUGAAAUAGAUUUCAGUUUUUAGUUGUUACCUCCCUCCCAUCAUCUCCUCUCAUAUUCCCUCUCAAUUCCAUCUC
rnacentral:miRNA from 1 species